AGAGAGAGCUUGCUUUCUCGAGCGAGUGGCGAACGGGUGAGUAACGCGUGAGGAACCUGCCUCAAAGAGGGGGACAACAGUUGGAAACGACUGCUAAUACCGCAUAAGCCCACGACCCGGCAUCGGGUAGAGGGAAAAGGAGCAAUCCGCUUUGAGAUGGCCUCGCGUCCGAUUAGCUAGUUGGUGAGGUAACGGCCCACCAAGGCGACGAUCGGUAGCCGGACUGAGAGGUUGAACGGCCACAUUGGGACUGAGACACGGCCCAGACUCCUACGGGAGGCAGCAGUGGGGAAUAUUGCACAAUGGGGGAAACCCUGAUGCAGCGACGCCGCGUGGAGGAAGAAGGUUUUCGGAUUGUAAACUCCUGUUGUUGAGGAAGAUAAUAACGGUACUCAACAAGGAAGUGACGGCUAACUACGUGCCAGCAGCCGCGGUAAAACGUAGGUCACAAGCGUUGUCCGGAAUUACUGGGUGUAAAGGGAGCGCAGGCGGGAAGACAAGUUGGAAGUGAAAUCCAUGGGCUCAACCCAUGAACUGCUUUCAAAACUGUUUUUCUUGAGUAGUGCAGAGGUAGGCGGAAUUCCCGGUGUAGCGGUGGAAUGCGUAGAUAUCGGGAGGAACACCAGUGGCGAAGGCGGCCUACUGGGCACCAACUGACGCUGAGGCUCGAAAGUGUGGGUAGCAAACAGGAUUAGAUACCCUGGUAGUCCACACUG
rnacentral:rRNA from 1 species